rnacentral:lncRNA from 1 species
UUGGAGGGAAUGCAUCCAUUACAGGCUCAAACUUUGUUGACUCAUUGAAACACAGUUCUACCACAUGAUCAGCAAGUUUAUAUUUUUAUACAGGUUUUCGGUUAUAGAAAUUGGUAAUGUCAUACACCUGUCCUUCUUCCAUUUUCUUGGACAUGUAAGGAUAAGCAGAUUCCUCAAUUAAACCGUGAAUAGCAUGUCCCUGCACAAACUUAGAAAUGAAGAAACUUGCCUCUUCGUCGACUAACAGAUAAUGGAGGCCAUCGUAUAU